GUUUGCUUAGCACAUGUGAGGCACUGGGUUUGAUCCUCAGCACCACAUAAAAAUAGAUAAAUAAAAUAAAAAACUGUACUUUAAGAGUUUGAUGAUAUAGUUUAUUAAUGAUAUACAAAUAAUUAUUAUAACUUUUCUUCAUCCUUUUACAUUUCAGAGAAAACAUUUUGAAGAAAACUGGACACAGACUGAGCAAAACCAAACAGAAGAGCAAAAGAAAAAGAAACAAAAAGCAUAAUAUUCUUACUGAAAUUGUGGAUGAAAACUCAUUUGAAACCUUAAAUUAUCUUAAAAUAGGAGAUCAGGUCCCAAAUGAAGAGGAAGAUUUUGAAGAGAACGAAAGAGAAUCAGUGUGUCCCUUCACUGGUGGCCAUUUCGUGAAUGGCUAUAAAGAAAAAAGUCAGAAAAGCAUAGAUCCUGAAGACAAUUUUCCAAAUGUUAUAUCUAUAGUUGAGUUGGACAAGACACCAGAUAAUUACUUCCCUAAGGAAAAUGAUGACUUGUUUCUAACUUUGUCAUCAAUCCCAAAUGAAAGCUCUGUAACUUGUCCAACAGGGACUCAAAAUCUUUCCUAUGUAACAAGGGAUGACUCCUUGGGUAUGAAGAUAGAAAAGCAUGUUGGAAAUAGGCAAAACUUAUCAUUAGACACCCAGGAACUAUUUGCUGAUAAAACCCCAUGUUCAUUUAUGCAGAAAAGAGAGAUGGUAAAUAAAAGUCUCUCAAAUGAACCAAUUCUUUGCCAUCAACGUGGAUCCCGAACUUCAGAUAAUGUUUUAAGAGAGGAACAAGGAGUGCAUACAACUAAAAACAAUUAUUGGGCUUUUUUCACAACCAAUUCAUCUGAAGAAGAAUUACAACGAGGCUCUGAAAGACAAUCUUAUUUUGGUAGCUGGCCUGAGGGACCGCAUAAGUUUGUAUGUGAACAGAGACCAAAGAAAGAUAGAUCACGUAAACUGACCCAUCCUGACAGUGGAGAACAAUUGAUUAAAUUAAUCUCCACUUCUGAAGGAGUAUCAGGACCAGGAAGUGGUCCAGAAAUAUUGACAGAGGAGAAACUACUGAUAGAAAAUGAAGAUUUGUCACAUCCAACUGAAACUAUAGAUUCAUUCAUGAAAACAGACACAAAUAUCCUCAGCAGCUACUUAUCACAACUGGACAUCACCCAAAGUGCCUUACAAUCAACAACUAAUAAGAAAAGGAGAGAGAAUAGAAUUUUAAAUUUGGUACCAAACUUACUGGGACAGAGUCAUUUCAAUGCAAAAAAAGGGGAGAAAUGUGGCCUGUUACCUAAAAACUUUGGAUUGAACAUUAUUUGGGGAGAAAUAAAAGAUAGAAUUUCAGAAAUCAAUAACCAAGAAGAGAAUGAGCAAAAAGUUAUGAUCUUUGAUCAUCAUUCAUUGUGGUUUUACCCUGAUAUUAUCAAAGAUUCAUCUCUAAAUAUUGGUGGAAAUUUUUAUUCUCACUACUUGUCAUUUAGUAGACUAGGGUAUGCUCUGUAUUUUUACAGAAGCCCUAUUCCUUCUCUUGUAUUGCAUUAUAUAUCUAGCUUUUGGAUGGUAUCUUUUACCAACAAAAAAACGUUUUUGACUUUCAAAUCACAAACAAGAAUAGGCAAUAAGCUAAAAGAUGUAGGGUUUAUUUCUUCAGAAAUUUUAAUUAGGCAACCUGAUACUUUGUGCUCUUUGAGGGGUACCUCUGAAAGAUUUGGUGAAAAGCUGAAGAGAUGGGAAGAAUCUAAGCCAUUACAGUGUUUACCAACUGAGGAUCUCCAAAAUUUAACAAGCACUGAUUUUAAUACCUUUGAGCUUCCAUUAUCAAAAGGAUUUGCCUUUCAACUAGUAACGCUUUUUGGAUCUCCUGGAGUUCCAAUGGGUAAAUUGCUUUCAUUUACUAACAAUAAAAGGUCUAUGUGCAGUAAAUUCUUAUUUUUUUAUAUAUCAUAUAUAUAUAUAUAUAUAUAUGGAUAGAUAUUUGUCAUAUAUAUGUGUGUGUAUAUAUGUGUGUGUGUGUGUGUGUGUAUAUAUAUAUAUAUUUUUUUUUAUUUUUUAUUUAUUUUUUUGUGGUGCUGGGGAUUGAAACUAGGGCCUUGUACCUGUGAGGCAAGCACUCUACCAACUGAGCUAUAUCCCUAACCCCUGUCAUAUAUAUUUAUAUAUAAAUUUUACACAUGAAAAUUUUAAGUGUCUGUUCCAAAACCAACCAAGAGUAAAUUUAAAUGGCAAAUGGAAACUAAAAAGAAAAACAAAAAGAACCAUUUAUAGCACAAAAUAAAGCACUAAUAUUCUUUUUAAAAAAUUAUUUGCUAUCUUAUUGAAUUUGGAGAGUUCUUAUAUAUUCUGGAAACAUAUUAGAUAUAUACUUUAAAACUAUUUCCAUCUGUCUAUGGUAUCUUCUUGUCCUAUUCAUUAAGUGUCUUCUAAAGAGUAGAAGUUUUUAAUUAUGAUGAAGUCAAAUUUAUCAUUGCUAUCUUUUAUAAAUUGUGGUUUGGGUUUUAACCAAGAAAUCUUGGGGUACCCCUGGCUUAAAAAGUAUUUUUCCUAUCUUCUCCUGAAAGUGUUUCAGUUUUGGAUUUCACAUUUAUAUUUAUGAUCCAUUUUUAGUUUGUGAACAUGAUAUAAGGAAUCGAUUGAAGUUUUUCUUUUUCUAAAGUAUGGAUAUUUAGUUUUAGGACCAUUUAGUGAGAAUACUUUCCUUUCUCCACUCAAUUGAAUUUGUACCCUUAUUUAAAACAAGUUUAUGUAUACAAUUAUUUUUUUUUAAAAUUUUUCCAUAGCUUUAUUGGGGUAAAACAGAAGUCAAUAAAAUAUACAUAUUUGAAGUAUGCAAUUUGAUCAGUUUUGACAUGUAUGUAACCUAUACAAUCAAUAUUAAACUCAUUUCCAUUACUUUUUUAAAAUUUGAAAUCAUGCAGACUGUGUUUCCUGCAGUAAUAUUCUUAAUAGAAAGUGCUCUCAUAAGUCAAUAAGAAAGCAAGUAAAUUCUUAAGUUGUUUCUACCUGGUGUUAGUGAUUUCAUGUAAUUUAUUGGUUGUGUGAUAACUUUUAACCCCCAAAAUGAGGAUCCUUAGUUAAGGAACUUUGCCUUUUACAGUUCCCAUCCCUUGCCACCAGAAUAGUCUUCAUAAAUGUCAUUGAGUGCCUAAAAUAUCUGGACUCUCCAUUUAAGUAGACACUGAGAAGAAUGAAGGAUGAGGCGGACAUACAGUGACCAUGUAACAGAGAUGGGCUGCUUUAUUAUUACUUUUUUCAAACUUUCUACUUUUUACCUUUCCCUUGUUUGGCACAUGGCCCUUUUCUCAUGCACAAUUUUGGCUCCCAGAUAUGAGAUUAGUAGAGAUAGCAAAGAUUAAAUGACAAAGACGUUGGAAAUAGUUGAAUGUAUUUUUUAAAGAUUGAGAAGGGUUCUAACAAGAUUAGGAGAGAGUUCAAGUAGUUAGAAAUGUUUUCAAGUUGACUAGUUGAACUCUCUCCUAAUCUCUUAAGAAUGUUAUUUUUGGGGGCUGAGAUUGUAGUUCAGUGGUGAAGCACUUGCCUCACAUAUAUGAGGCACUGGUGCUGAUCCUCAGCACCACAUAAAAAUAAAUAAAAGUGAUAAAGGUAUUGUGUCCAUCUACAACUAAAAAUAUAUAUUUUUUAAAAAAGAAAAUAUUUUUUGAAAAUGAAAAAUCCACCUGUGAAUAAAACAAGGGAAUAUAUGAUUAUCAAUAUUCUAAGUAAAUUUAUAUUUAAUAAUAAUCAUAUUUAAGAUGCUAACUGUCCUAUAGAGGAAAUGGAACACAAAUCCCAACUUUUCCUUCUCUAUUACUCAAUACCUGAUGCUUUCCUAGUACUCUUCCUUAGGAAUAGGUUAAGAGCCAAGAAGCCAAAGUUCCAAUCCCUGGAACUUUGUUCUCCAGUUCUUUUGGAUCUUCCUGUUCUCCUUUACCUACUUGGGUUCCCACACCAUGCUCUGUCUCAAAACAUGUCCUUCCUGGUUUUUCACUUUGCCCCUAAACUUAUGAUGUUCCAGAUAAACUUGGUCUCAGGAACUCAGACCAAAAAUUGCCUAAGUCUCAGUGUGGAGGUCAUAAUUAUCAAUCUAGUUUUGAUAUUCUGAUAUCACAUUGAACAUACUUGUUACCUUUAUGAAAAACUGCAAUUUUUCUAUCCUAAUAAAUGUGCCAACAAGCAAACCAAAAAAACCCCUCGAUUUUUUAAAUUUAAAAUGCAUGAGAAGCUAAUUUUUGAGGCUUUCUCCUUGCUUUUUAAUUCUUAGCCAAGAAUAAACCUUCACUGCUAAAAAAUAAAUAUAAUGAAUAAAUAAAUGAAAUAUGUUUGUUUUGAAGAAUUUUAAGACAUUUUAGGCCAGGGAUCUUAGUUCAAGGUUUAUAUUCUGAAAUUACAUGCAAAUUUUUUUGGUAUUAUUUUGUGCCCCUUUCUUGGUGGAAGUCCAUAGAUUUUAUUAGCUUCUCCUAGAGGUCCAUGACCCAGAAAGAUUAACAGUUACUGCCUUAGAUCAGUAAGAAAAAGCAAGAAGUCACAGGUGUAAAGAUUCUAAACCUCUUCCUCUCUUGAAUCAACAAUGAUCAAGCAUCCAUUAAUUAGACUUCAAAAACUUUUUAAAGGAAAUAGACCUUAUUCAUCAAAUAGCUUACUUUCUAACUGGGGAAACAAAAAUAACAAAAUACAAUUACUGCACAUAGAAAAUAUACAUGACAAGCUUAUGAAUAUUUUAUGAGCGAGAUUAGCAGUGCUAAAGGGAUUGUUGAAGAGAAGAUGGGGUUGUGGUUUUGUUUGGGAUCCUUUCAUUAUGAAAGUGAAUUAUAAGCAGUCUUUAUACAAAAGAAAAAGAAUAUGGCUUGAAAAACAAGCAAAGAGAAAGAAUUUCACAUUUGAAAAUGGCAUGUGCUUACAAAAAGGGAGAGAAAGAAACUCUAAGUGGAGGCUGUAAACUGAUUUGCUUGGCUAAAUUGGACAAGCCAAGCCAUGAUGUAUGAUCAGUGGCCUUGUAAAUAAGGCAGGGAACUCAAAUGAAUCCUAGUAAAAGAAAAAUAAUUUUUGUGGUUUGGCAUGGCUGAUGUUGUAUGUUAUGGUUGUGUGUUAAUGUUUGGACUUGUUUAUGAGCUGCUUCAUUUUGAGGAAAAUUUCCCCCAGACACUCAUAUGGAAGAAACAAUUUUUAGGAAGACUAAAUUUGCUAUAGCUGAAAUGCUUAAUACGUGUCACAGAAAAGGAUGACUAUUUAAAUUUUAUGCCUUGAGACAGUACCACUUAAAGCUAUUAUAUAUGUGUAUGUCUUUAUGUAUAUAUAUUUGUACUUAAUGAGAGUAUGGACUAUGAUACAUAUCAUUUUAUAUAUGUACUUAAUAAGAAUUUUCUUUUAGUCUGGGUACUGUUUACUAAUAGAAGUCUGAGACGGACUCUUGAUUUAGCCAACACUGAAAUAUCUUCAAAAUCAGAGUGUUAAUGUUAUAGCAGCUUACAUUGCAUAUCUUUACAUUUAGGGUGAAAAAUCUGUGUGACAUAUGUGAUGAAAUUUGUUUCUCCUUUUUUUUUUCACAGAAUCCUUAUUACCUGAUGACUAUGUUAUUCCCCUUGACUGGAAAACACUGAAGAUGAUCUAUUUGCAAUGGAAGAUGUCAAUAGAGGUAUAUUUUUAUAGCUUUCACAGAAGAUCUUCUCUUAACUGU
rnacentral:lncRNA from 1 species